GACUGUGUUGUAGUGGUUUGAGCAUUGGACUAGGACUCUGGAGACCAGGGUUCAAAUCCCUGCUGAGCCA